rnacentral:rRNA from 1 species
CAUGUUGAUGCUACAACCCAUCUGGGGAAUGGCUUGGCUCGAGUGCCGAUGAAGGUCGUGACAAGCUGCGAUAAGCUACGGGGAGACGCAUGAAUGUCUGCGAUCCGUAGAUUGCCUAAUAGGACCUCCUGACUCUAGCAGUCAAUCGCAUUAGCGAUGGGGAACCCCCUGAAUUGAAGCAUCUUAGUAGGGGGAGGAAAAGAAAUCAAAAGAGAUUCCGUGAGUAGUGGCGAACGAAAACGGAACAGAGCAAACCGAAUCCGGAAUGGAAACUGAAGGAAAUGUGGUGUGUUCGUCUGUAGCCUAAGUUCGGGAAGGAGAAGUCGCCUGGAAUGGCGCAGCCAGAGAGGGUGAAAGUCCCGUAUCCGAAUCGAAUAUGGCCAAGUGACGUAACAAGAGUAGCGUGCGUUGGAUAUCGCGCGUGAAUGUGGGACGCAGAAAGUUCCAACUCUAAAUACAACUCGAGACCGAUAGUUUACAAGUAACGUGAGUGAAAGCUGAAAAGUAUCCUUAGCGGGAUGUGAAAAGAACCUGAAACCAGAUGGGUACAGGCUGAUAAGGCGUGAAAGCGAAGAUAUGAGCAGCGUCUUAUCGUGCGUUUAGAAAAAUGCCCCUGGGAGUCUUGAUCAUUGGCGAGGUUAAGUGGUUGAACCACGAAGCCGAAGGGAAACCGACAAGUCCGCAGCCGCAUUAGCGGUGAGGGACGGGAUGUGCUCGUCCGAAGUCAAUGGUGGAGAACCUGAAGCCCACCGAUCUAUGCCUGGCCAGAUUGAAGCCCGGUGAAAACUGGGUGGAGGAUCGAACCGUUGCUGAUCUGCAAAUCGCUCGGAUGAGCUGGGUAUAGGGGUGAAAGUCCAAUCGAGGUGGGCAAUAGCAGGUUCCGCGCGAAACUACUCGUAGGUAGACGUCCGUGGAGGUGGAAGGCGUUGUAGAGCACUGAUUGUGUGUUUAGGGGGAGCGAUCCCUCGGCAUGCUGCCAAACUCCGAAUAUGCCUUCGCCGUAGAAACGGGCAGUGAGUGAUGGUGGGUAAGCUACCAUUACGCAAGGUGAACAAACCAGCCUAACGUUAAGGUCCCAAAAUUGCGAUCAAGUGUCACAGAUAAACCGAGUCCGUGGUCGAAAACAACCAGAAGGUGGGCUUAGAAGCAGCCAUCCUUGAAAGAGUUCGUAACAGAUCACUGGUCU